UACGUAGGGGGCUAGCGUUGUCCGGAAUCAUUGGGCGUAAAGCGCGUGUAGGCGGUCCGGUAAGUCCGCUGUGAAAGUCGGGGGCUCAACCCUCGAAUGCCGGUGGAUACUGUCGGGCUAGAGUGCGGAAGAGGCGAGUGGAAUUCCUGGUGUAGCGGUGAAAUGCGUAGAUAUCUGGAGGAACACCGGUGGCGAAGGCGGCAUCCUGGACCGACACUGACGCUGAGGAGCGAAAGCCAGGGGAGCAAACGGG
rnacentral:rRNA from 1 species